rnacentral:rRNA from 1 species
UGGGGAAUAUUGCACAAUGGGGGAAACCCUGAUGCAGCGACGCCGCGUGAACGAAGAAGGUAUUCGUAUCGUAAAGUUCUGUCCUAUGGGAAGAUAAUGACAGUACCAUAGAAGAAAGCUCCGGCUAAAUACGUGCCAGCAGCCGCGGUAAUACGUAUGGAGCGAGCGUUGUCCGGAAUUAUUGGGCGUAAAGGGUACGCAGGCGGUUUAAUAAGUCGAAUGUUAAAGAUCGGGGCUCAACCCCGCAAAGCAUUGGAAACUGAUAAACUUGAGUAGUGGAGAAGAAAGUGGAAUUCCUAGUGUAGUGGUGAAAUACGUAGAUAUUAGGAGGAGUACCAGUAGCGAAGGCGACUUUCUGGACACAAACUGACGCUGAGGUACGAAAGCGUGGGGAGCAAACAGG